rnacentral:rRNA from 1 species
CCUACGGGUGGCAGCAGUGGGGAAUAUUGCACAAUGGGGGAAACCCUGAUGCAGCGACGCCGCGUGAAGGAAGAAGUAUUUCGGUAUGUAAACUUCUAUCAGCAGGGACGAAAAUGACGGUACCUGAAUAAGAAGCACCGGCUAACUACGUGCCAGCAGCCGCGGUAAUACGUAGGGGCGAAGCGUUAUCCGGAUUUACUGGGUUUAAAGGGAGCGUAGGCGGCGAUGGAAGUCAGAAGUGAAAGACCGGGGCUCAACGCCGGGACUGCUUUUGAAACUGUGUUGCUAGAGUGCAGUAGAGGUAAGGGGAAUUCGUAGUGUAGCGGUGAAAUGCUUAGAUAUUAGGAGGAACACCAGUGGCGAAGGCAGCUUACUGGACUGUAAAUGACGCUGAGGCUCGAAAGCGUGGGGAGCAAACAGGAUUAGAUACCCCUGUAGUC